rnacentral:lncRNA from 1 species
GACUAGCCGCUCAGAUCCGAGCCCGAGCGGCCGGGCGCAGCGGCUGCUUCCAGGAUCUCCGCGCAGGAGAGGAGCCGCCCCAGCGUCUGUCACUUGCGCCGACGGCCGCUGCCGAGGGCUCUCCCGGGCAAGGAACUGGGACGCGGCCCGGAAGGGGACCUGCGAGCUUCGCCUGCCCUUGCCAAGACGUGGCUCAGGGAAAGUGCGCCCCACGAUCGAACAAAUUCAACCAGAUUCCCCACCUGCGCCCCCAUCCGAGAGAACACUGGAUUCUCCGGAUGCCUCCCGCCUGGAGCACGGCCACCCCCAAGUUCUCAAGCCGACACGUUGUGAAGAUCGGUAGACCUUCGUAUACCUGGUCUGGUGCUGAUGAUGAAGAUGGGUCACCUGGUAUUCCAUCACCACCGGCUAGCCUGCCUUGGCUACAGGAGGAAAGAAACCAAGUGUUCUCCACAUCCUUCUCCUGUUCCUCAGGACCCUCAGCUCGGGCUGGAGAAUUGACCUGUCCCCUUGUUUCCUGCUGGGACGCACACUUCAAGUUCAGAAUCAGGUUCAGCAGUUUCCCCUCCUCUGCCCUCUGCCUGCACAUCAAGUCAUGGCUUCAGGGAAGUAGCAGCAGAAUCAAGACAAUGAGCUUGUCCCCUUCCUGACGGUAAAAUUUUUAAAUCAAGAGAUAAUUUGAUACCUUGCAGCCUAAAGAGGACCCAAAUCAAAGGACAUUCUAAUGCUUGGAAAUCAUUGAUUCUUCCCCAAAAUUUUCAAUAGCCAGUUCAUAUCUGUAGUUUUAUCAACCUUCCAACUCAUACAAGUCAAACAGAUAAUCAAGUGUUGAAGUUUUUUUCUAAAUACCCACACCAUUUUUUGUAAACUGAAAAAUGAUUUUUGAACAUUUAUAGGGCUAGGAGGAAACCCAAUAUACUAAAAUAUUAACAUUCUGACUUGGGCAUCUUAUAUAUCUCAUUUAAUCUUUACAACAACCCUAUGAGAUAAGAGUCCAUCCUCCUUUUAUAUGAAAACAAUUGAGCUGGUUCCAGGGCCUCUGCACUGGGCUCUGUGCUAUGCUGCCUCAGUUCCUAUGUUUUUAACAAGGAUAAUACUGAACUCAUUGGGUGAUACAAGGACUAAAUGGAAGAAUUUACUUGCAUGUUUAGCACAUUAUUUAAUAUCAACGAAUAUCACUAUUGUUUAAAGAAAAACUCUUUGUGAAUAUAACUUUCCCCUCUCUCAGUGUUCUACCAUUACCUUUUUUUAAAAAACAAAACAUUUCCAUAUCAGUUCCUUUGCUGGUGCACAUGUACACCUUCCUACAGAGGAUAGUUUCAAAGUAAGUCAGAAGCUAUGAAUCUUUUUCUCUACCUGUGGUGUGAGAGGAAUCAGAAAAAAAAUUACAGAAUAUGAUUUAGAGGGAGGAUGUCAUUUUCCCUUGAGGAUGCUGUGAUGUUUUUGUAUUUUAGCAGUAUGGCACUCCAAGCUGACUGGAAUUCCCCUGGAAUCUCCAUAGAUAGGCCACUGUGGUCCUUUGCCUACAAGUGCUAUAGCUAUCUCCCAUGGCCACUGAAGGUCCCAUUUCUGUGUGUGAGGAGCCUGACCAGUGUGUGGCCUU